rnacentral:rRNA from 1 species
AACGUAGGACGCAAGCGUUAUCCGGAGUUACUGGGCGUAAAGCGCGGGCAGGCGGCUCGAUGCGUCUGAUGUGAAAUCUCCUCGCUCAACGGGGAGAGGCCAUUGGAAACGGUCGGGCUGGAGGGCAGUAGAGGCAGGCGGAAUUCCGGGUGGAGUGGUGAAAUGCGUAGAGAUCGGGAGGAACACCAGUGGCGAAGGCGGCGACCUGGACCUGUGCUGACGCUGAGGCGCGAAAGCGUGGGGAGCGAACAGG